rnacentral:miRNA from 1 species
AUCUGUCAAGCUGGAGAAAACC